AUACUACCUGGUAGGGAGAUACCAGAUCAAAGAAGGUGGUUUCUCCCAGGGCUUAGGCUUAUCCAUUGCACUGGGAUGUACUGACCCUGCGAUUUCCCCAAAUGUGGGAAACUGACCGCGCAAUUUGUGGUAGUGGGGGACUGCGUUCGCGCUUUCCCCUA